rnacentral:rRNA from 1 species
CCUACGGGUGGCUGCAGUGGGGAAUAUUGGACAAUGGGCGAAAGCCUGAUCCAGCCAUGCCGCGUGUGUGAAGAAGGCCUUCGGGUUGUAAAGCACUUUCAGUGGGGAAGAAAGCCUUGGGGCUAAUACCCUCGAGGAAGGACAUCACCCACAGAAGAAGCACCGGCUAACUCCGUGCCAGCAGCCGCGGUAAUACGGAGGGUGCGAGCGUUAAUCGGAAUUACUGGGCGUAAAGCGCGCGUAGGCGGUCUGAUAAGCCGGUUGUGAAAGCCCCGGGCUCAACCUGGGAACGGCAUCCGGAACUGUCAGGCUAGAGUGCAGGAGAGGAAGGUAGAAUUCCCGGUGUAGCGGUGAAAUGCGUAGAGAUCGGGAGGAAUACCAGUGGCGAAGGCGGCCUUCUGGACUGACACUGACGCUGAGAUGCGAAAGCGUGGGUAGCAAACAGGAUUAGAUACCCCGGUAGU